rnacentral:rRNA from 1 species
UACGGAGGGUGCUAGCGUUAUCCGGAUUUAUUGGGCGUAAAGAGUUCGUAGGCGUCUUGAGAAGUUGCUCUUCAAAGACCGAGGCUCAACUUCGGAAAGGGGAGUAAUACUCUUAGGAUUGAAAUAUUUCGGGGCUACUGGAACUUACGGUGUAGGAGUGAAAUCCGUUGAUAUCGUAAGGAACACCGAGGGCGAAGGCGGGUAGCUAGGAAUUAUUUGACGCUGAGGAACGAAAGCUAGGGGAGCGAAAGGG